AUGUACCACGCGGACACUCCGAUUCCUGCGCGCCGUCCGCACCCACCUGACGACCGCUCGCCAUGUUUUGGUCGCC
rnacentral:sRNA from 1 species